GGGUCAGUAGGUUGGUCGUGCCACCGGUACGUACUGGUCUCACUGAUUCCUCCUUCCUGAAGAACCUUAAUGCCAUUAAUUUGGUGUUGCGGGGAAACAGGACUGUUACUUUGAAAAAAUUAGAUUUUUUAAAGCAAGCUAACGCUUGAAUACAUUAGCAUGGAAUAAUGAAAUAGGACGAUCGAUCCUAUUUUGUUGGUUUCUAGGAUUGACGUA
rnacentral:rRNA from 1 species